rnacentral:rRNA from 1 species
UACGUAGGGUGCAAGCGUUAAUCGGAAUUACUGGGCGUAAAGCGUGCGCAGGCGGUUAUGCAAGACAGAUGUGAAAUCCCCGGGCUCAACCCUGGGAACUGCAUUUGUGACUGCAUGGCUGGAGUGCGGCAGAGGGGGGGGAUGGAAUUCCGCGUGUAGCAGUGAAAUGCGUAGAUAUGCGGAGGAACACCGAUGGCGAAGGCAAUCCCCUGGGCCUGCACUGACGCUCAUGCACGAAAGCGUGGGGAGCGAAACAAGGA